UAAGAAUUAUCUCUUUCUACAAAACCCUUUGAAAAUCGUUGUGACUCAUUGUUAGAAUAGCAGCUCAAGUAAAAGUUCAGGCUCAGGAUAGGAAGGACUGGACCAGGUUACAGAAAAAUGUGAAGAAGUAGGGAGUCUUGGAAGCAUCAGCAAACUGGAAUCAAACAGCUGGAAUUGGUUAACUUGGUUGAGCAGUUAGAGGAAAAUACAGGAGCAAAGCCACAUGGGAAUGGGAAGCAGAAGGGUGCUCCAUCUCCAGUAUAAAUGAGGUCUUGGAGAGAAGAAGUCAGCCGGCAUUUUAUCAAAGCAACAGCAGCAGCUGGGCCUAGCUUGGCAAGUUCGGGAGAUUUCUCCUGGUUAUCUUUUUGACUUAAUCAUUUCAAUUGUAUUUCCUUUUCUGUUGAGACUAGUAGAAGAAGAAGCGAUGAUUUGUAAUUGAAACUUCUGUGUAAAAGUCAUUUCUCAUUAUCCCAUCAAUACAAUUACAAUUCUCCAAUUCUAUUCUCUUUUUUACAAUUAUCAAUUGUUCCUAACUCUAUCACUCAUGUUGAUGCAUAUUGAUGUGGAUUAAAAAGCAAAGUGAAUGUGAUUAGGUACUUAGGCAUCCUACAUAGUAGAUUAUACAGCACCAUAUCAAAAUAGAUUUCACAUCCAAAAUGGCUUACAUAGACUCAUACAGUCCAAUAAACACUGUUACAACGGUAUAGCCUUUAGUGAUAUAAAAGGCCUUUUGAUCCCAUUUGUCUGCAGAAGCAGUUUCUCAAGGCAGAAAGACUCCAAACCUUCCAUUUUUGCAUUUCUCAGCCCUCAUAACCCAAAAUUUACCUCCAUAUUUCAGUUUUAAUCAGAUUUAUCACUAUGCCCUCAAAUUCCAAGAGUAGGGAAAAAAAGGAAUUUUUUAGAAACAAGAAAAUAUUUGAUCAAACGAUUUCUCGCUACCAAGAUUCUCCACGAUAUUCCUGCCAUAGUUAUUAAAGACUCAAGGUGCAAUAAGGCAUCAAGGGGUACUAAAGCCUAGGCACAAGGCGCAGGCGCGCACCUGCGCGAGGUGAGGUGCAAAAAAAAAUCAUAAAAGUCUAAUAAAUGUGAUCCCAUCAAAAUUCAAAUGACAUAAAACUAAAAAUAAUAAUA
rnacentral:misc_RNA from 1 species